rnacentral:pre_miRNA from 1 species
UACAUAUGCCACUCAAAGAUAACUGAUUUCCUCUGGUGUUUAGAGCCUUCUGCAGCCUUCUAGCACCAUUUGAAAUCGGUUAUGACACUGUGGAACACUGCA